UAUACCGUGAAACUGCGAAUGGCUCAUUAAAUCAGUUAUCGUUUAUUUGAUAGUACCUUACUACUUGGAUAACCGUGGUAAUUCUAGAGCUAAUACAUGCUAAAAACCUCGACUUCGGAAGGGGUGUAUUUAUUAGAUAAAAAACCAAUGCCCUUCGGGGCUCCCUGGUGAUUCAUAGUAACUUAACGAAUCGCAUGGCCUUGUGCCGGCGAUGGCUCAUUCAAAUUUCUGCCCUAUCAACUUUCGAUGGUACGGUCUUGGCCUACCAUGGUUUCAACGGGUAACGGGGAAUUAGGGUUCUAUUCCGGAGAGGGAGCCUGAGAAACGUAAGUCUAUAUCCAGCUCUCAUCUGCCGUAAUACAUUUGCUAACAUUCAUUUUACAGGGCUACCACAUCCAAGGAAGGCAGCAGGCGCGCAAAUUACCCAAUCCUGAUACAGGGAGGUAGUGACAAUAAAUACUGAUACAGGGCUCUUUUGGGUCUUGUAAUUGGAAUGAGUACAAUUUAAAUCCCUUAACGAGGAACAAUUGGAGGGCAAGUCUGGUGCCAGCAGCCGCGGUAAUUCCAGCUCCAAUAGCGUAUAUUAAAGUUGUUGCAGUUAAAAAGCUCGUAGUUGAACCUUGGGCCUGGCUGUCCGGUCCGCCUCACCGCGUGCACUGGUUCGGCCGGGCCUUUCCUCCUAGGGAACCGCAUGCCCUUCAUUGGGUGUGUCGGGGAACUAGGACUUUUACUUUGAAAAAAUUAGAGUGUUCAAAGCAGGCCUAUGCUCGGAUACAUUAGCAUGGAAUAAUAGAAUAGGACGUGUGGUUCUAUUUUGUUGGUUUCUAGGACCGCCGUAAUGAUUAAUAGGGAUAGUCGGGGGCAUCAGUAUUCCGUUGUCAGAGGUGAAAUUCUUGGAUUUACGGAAGACUAACUACUGCGAAAGCAUUUGCCAAGGAUGUUUUCAUUAAUCAGUGAACGAAAGUUAGGGGAUCGAAAACGAUCAGAUACCGUUGUAGUCUUAACCAUAAACUAUGCCGACUAGGGAUCGGGCGAUGUUAUCUUUUUGACUCGCUCGGCACCUUACGAGAAAUCAAAGUCUUUGGGUUCUGGGGG
rnacentral:rRNA from 1 species